CAGAAACUUAAAUGAAUUGACGGGGGCCCGCACAAGCGGAGGAACAUGUGGUUUAAUUCGAUGAUACGCGAGGAACCUUACCUGGGCUCGAACGUAAGAUGACUGUAGGUGAAAGCUUACAUCUCUUCGGAGCAUUUUACGAGGUGCUGCAUGGUUGUCGUCAGCUCGUGCCGUGAGGUGUCGGGUUAAGUCCCAUAACGAGCGCAACCCCUACCUUUAGUUGCCAUCAGGUUAAGCUGGGGACUCUAAAGGAACUGCCUACGCAAGUAGUGAGGAAGGCGGGGAUGACGUCAAAUCAGCACGGCCCUUACGUCCAGGGCUACACACGUGCUACAAUGGCCGAUACAGAGGGCAGCUACCUGGUGACAGGAUGCAAAUCUCCAAAGUCGGUCUCAGUUCGGAUCGGAGUCUGCAACCCGACUCCGUGAAGUUGGAUUCGCUAGUAAUCGCGCAUCAGCCAUGGCGCGGUGAAUACGUUCCCGGGCCUU
rnacentral:rRNA from 1 species